GAACAAAGGAAGGAGGAAGUAACUUGUGGAGUGCUGAGAAAGGUGAUCAGAAGAGCCAUCACUGAAGAUGACAACUGAGCAAAGACCCAAAGGAGGUGAAGAGUGAACUACGGAGGAAGCACCUUCCUGGCAGAGAACAGCAAGUGCAAAGGCCCUGGGCAGGGAGGAUGACUGGGGAUCAUUCAAGCAAGAGCAAAGAGGCCAAUGUGGAAGGAACAGAGUCAGCAAGAAGGAGUGUAAAAGGAGGUGCUCGUGACGACGACUGGGAGCAGAGCACGAGGCUGGAGAGAGCACCCCUCAAUACCGGACUCGGGUAAAAUCUUGCCUCCUUCCUGAGCCCCUCUCUCAGACCUAAUGCAAAAGCCGUAAUCCACUGGGGGAAGGGCAAGAAACCUUCCCUGUCCCCGGGACCCAGGCAAAGA